UACGUAGGGGGCAAGCGUUAUCCGGAUUUACUGGGUGUAAAGGGAGCGUAGACGGCGAUGCAAGUCUGAAGUGAAAGGCGGGGGCCCAACCCCCGGACUGCUUUGGAAACUGUAUGGCUGGAGUGCAGGAGAGGUAAGUGGAAUUCCUAGUGUAGCGGUGAAAUGCGUAGAUAUUAGGAGGAACACCAGUGGCGAAGGCGGCUUUCUGGACUGUAACUGACACUGAGGUACGAAAGCGUGGGGAGCAAACAGG
rnacentral:rRNA from 1 species